AGGUCGGUAGCCAAGUGGUAAGGCGUGCGUCUGAUAAGCGCACAAUCGCGGGUUCGAUUCCCGCCCGACCUA
rnacentral:tRNA from 1 species